rnacentral:rRNA from 1 species
UGGGGAAUUUUGGACAAUGGGCGAAAGCCUGAUCCAGCAAUGCCGCGUGUGUGAAGAAGGCCUUCGGGUUGUAAAGCACUUUUGUCCGGAAAGAAAUCCUUGGCUCUAAUACAGUCGGGGGAUGACGGUACCGGAAGAAUAAGCACCGGCUAACUACGUGCCAGCAGCCGCGGUAAUACGUAGGGUGCAAGCGUUAAUCGGAAUUACUGGGCGUAAAGCGUGCGCAGGCGGUUUGCUAAGACCGAUGUGAAAUCCCCGGGCUCAACCUGGGAACUGCAUUGGUGACUGGCAGGCUAGAGUAUGGCAGAGGGGGGUAGAAUUCCACGUGUAGCAGUGAAAUGCGUAGAGAUGUGGAGGAAUACCGAUGGCGAAGGCAGCCCCCUGGGCCAAUACUGACGCUCAUGCACGAAAGCGUGGGGAGCAAACAGGAUUAGAUACCCUGGUAGUCCACGCCCUAAACGAUGUCAACUAGUUGUUGGGGAUUCAUUUCCUUAGUAACGUAGCUAACGCGUGAAGUUGACCGCCUGGGGAGUACGGUCGCAAGAUUAAAACUUAAAUGAAUUGACGGGGUCAUAGCUG